rnacentral:rRNA from 1 species
UUGGCGGGGUAACGGCCCACCAAGCCGACGAUCGGUAGCCGGACUGAGAGGUUGAACGGCCACAUUGGGACUGAGACACGGCCCAGACUCCUACGGGAGGCAGCAGUGAGGGAUAUUGGUCAAUGGGGGAAACCCUGAACCAGCAACGCCGCGUGAGGGAAGACGGUUUUCGGAUUGUAAACCUCUGUCCUCUGUGAAGAUGAUGACGGUAGCAGAGGAGGAAGCUCCGGCUAACUACGUGCCAGCAGCCGCGGUAAUACGUAGGGAGCAAGCGUUGUCCGGAUUUACUGGGUGUAAAGGGUGCGUAGGCGGCUUUGCAAGUCAGAAGUGAAAUCCAUGGGCUUAACCCAUGAACUGCUUUUGAAACUGCAGAGCUUGAGUGGAGUAGAGGUAGGCGGAAUUCCCGGUGUAGCGGUGAAAUGCGUAGAGAUCGGGAGGAACACCAGUGGCGAAGGCGGCCUGCUGGGCUCUAACUGACGCUGAGGCACGAAAGCGUGGGUAGCAAACAGGAUUAGAUACCCUGGUAGUCCACGCUGUAAACG